ACGCUCGACACCUACGAGGCAGCAGCCGGGAAUAUUGCGCAAUGGAGGAAACUCUGACGCAGUGACGCCGCGUAUAGGAAGAAGGUUUUCGGAUUGUAAACUAUUGUCGUUAGGGAAGAGAAAGGACAGUACCUAAGGAGGAAGCUCCGGCUAACUACGUUCCAGCAGCCGCGGUAAUCUGAGCGGGCUGGCAAGGC
rnacentral:rRNA from 1 species